rnacentral:rRNA from 1 species
UACGUAGGGGGCGAGCGUUGUCCGGAAUCAUUGGGCGUAAAGCGCGUGUAGGCGGCCCGGUAAGUCCGCUGUGAAAGUCCAGGGCUCAACCCUGGGAUGCCGGUGGAUACUGUCGGGCUCGAGUCCGGAAGAGGCGAGUGGAAUUCCUGGUGUAGCGGUGAAAUGCGCAGAUAUCAGGAAGAACACCAACGGCGAAGGCAGCUCGCUAGGACGGUACUGACGCUGAGACGCGAAAGCGUGGGGAGCGAACAGG